rnacentral:rRNA from 1 species
UGGGGAAUAUUGGACAAUGGGCGAAAGCCUGAUCCAGCCAUGCCGCGUGUGUGAAGAAGGUCUUCGGAUUGUAAAGCACUUUAAGUUGGGAGGAAGGGCAGUAAGCGAAUACCUUGCUGUUUUGACGUUACCGACAGAAUAAGCACCGGCUAACUCUGUGCCAGCAGCCGCGGUAAUACAGAGGGUGCAAGCGUUAAUCGGAAUUACUGGGCGUAAAGCGCGCGUAGGUGGUUCGUUAAGUUGAAUGUGAAAGCCCCGGGCUCAACCUGGGAAGUGCAUCAAAAACGGGCGAGCUAGAGUAGGGCAGAGGGUGGUGGAAUUUCCUGUGUAGCGGUGAAAUGCGUAGAUAUAGGAAGGAACACCAGUGGCGAAGGCGACCACCUGGGCUCAUACUGACACUGAGGUGCGAAAGCGUGGGGAGCAAACAGG